rnacentral:rRNA from 1 species
AUGGCUCCUACCGAGGCUGAGGAUGAUGUAGAGGAGGGAGAAGAGAAGAAGAAGAGGGAAAGGAAGGCAGCCGGAGCUGCUUUCACGUGGAUUCAAAAUGACUUUGCGACGUGCCCUCCGGAUGCAACUGAUGAUGUGAUCCAGACACAUGCUCGUGUGUAUAUGUGGUACAUUGUGUCGAGGACUUUGUUUCCUGACUCCACUGGCAAGAACGCUCCAUGGAUGUGGCUGAAGGCGUUGACCGUCUUCGAUAGCAAAUGGAGCUGGGGUUCAGCGACUCUUGCCUACUUGUACCAACAGGUAGUUGGUCUGUUUUGUGAUCAACUCAUUUAUUCAUUAGCAAUGCAAGCUUGCUGUCAAGUUAACAUUGUUUUUCUUUCAUAUGUAGCUGGAUGA